GGGGAUGUAGCUCAGUGGUAGAGCACAUGCUUCGCACGUAAGGGGCCCCGGGUUCAAUCCCCGGCAUCUCCA